rnacentral:tRNA from 1 species
GAAGAUUUAGUUAAUAUAACAUUGAAUUGUCAAUUCAAAAUAAUCAAUUUAUUGAUAUUCUUUU